rnacentral:rRNA from 1 species
AAAGAGUCCCUCCCGACUGUUUACCAAAAACACAGCACUUUGCCAACUCGUAAGAGGAAGUAUAAGGUGUGACGCCUGCCCGGUGCUCGAAGGUUAAGAGGAUGCGUCAGUCGCAAGAUGAAGCGUUGAAUUGAAGCCCGAGUAAACGGCGGCCGUAACUAUAACGGUCCUAAGGUAGCGAAAUUCCUUGUCGGUUAAAUACCGACCUGCAUGAAUGGCGUAACGAGAUGGGAGCUGUCUCAACCAGAGAUUCAGUGAAAUUGUAGUGGAGGUGAAAAUUCCUCCUACCCGCGGCAAGACGGAGAGACCCCGUGGACCUUUACUACAACUUAGCACUGCUAAUGGGAAUAUCAUGCGCAGGAUAGGUGGGAGGCUUUGAAGUAAGGGCUUUGGCUCUUAUGGAGCCAUCCUUGAGAUACCACCCUUGAUGUUUCUGUUAGCUAACUGGCCUGUGUUAUCCACAGGCAGGACAAUGCUUGGUGGGUAGUUUGACUGGGGCGGUCG